rnacentral:Y_RNA from 1 species
AGCUGGUCUGAAGGUAGUUAGUUACCUCAAUUGACUACUGAGUCAGUUACAGAUCAAACUUCUUGGUCUACUCUUCCUCCCUGUCCUCUCCUUCUCACUACUAUACUUGACUAGUCUUCA